rnacentral:rRNA from 1 species
CCAUGCAGGUAGUGCUUGCACUCCUGACGGUCAGCGGCGGACGGGUGAGUAACACGUAGGUAACCUGCCCGUAAGGCCGGGAUAACAUCCGGAAACGGAUGCUAAUACCGGAUACGCAAUUCCUUCGCAUGGGGGGAUUGGGAAAGGCGGUUCCGAUUGAAUUCGGGCUGCCGCUUACGGAUGGACCUGCGGCGCAUUAGCUGGUUGGUGAGGUAACGGCUCACCAAGGCGACGAUGCGUAGCCGACCUGAGAGGGUGAUCGGCCACACUGGGACUGAGACACGGCCCAGACUCCUACGGGAGGCAGCAGUAGGGAAUCUUCCGCAAUGGACGAAAGUCUGACGGAGCAACGCCGCGUGAGUGAGGAAGGCCUUCGGGUCGUAAAGCUCUGUUGCCAGGGAAGAACGUGCGAGGGAGUCACUGCCCUUGUAGUGACGGUACCUGAGAAGAAAGCCCCGGCUAACUACGUGCCAGCAGCCGCGGUAAUACGUAGGGGGCAAGCGUUGUCCGGAAUUAUUGGGCGUAAAGCGCGCGCAGGCGGCUUUGUAAGUCUUGUGUUUAAACGCGGGGGCUCAACCCCCGUGUCGCAUGGGAAACUGC